UCCUUCUGGUCUUUCGCUCGCUCUUCACUCUCUCUUAAUCUCUCUUAGUUAUCUCUCUCCUUCGUUGAUAGUAGACCACACCACCACCACCACUUGCCAUUCUGGCGAACACCCACGAAACCUCCCUAUCACGAACCUAACCCAGGCCGAGACCCUUUGUCUCCUCGCUGCAUAGUGCCAUCAUUGUGCAAAAAUCUGAUCCGUCAAAGUGUUUGGACAUAGGAACCACGUCGGGGAAGAACUUCCCAGUUUUUGGUGAGCCAUCCGCGAGUUGCAGGUGCUUUUCCGAUCACCUUCUGACCACGGCUAGUCCUUGAAUUGGUGCGAUCACUAUCAAAGACUCCGACUUUCCCAGCUUGAAUAGAUGUCACAUCGCAAGUACCUAAAAUUCCAGUAAGACCUUUUGAUUAUCGGGAUGAAGCUGUAUUUCAAAUGAUAUGCAUAUUAAGAAUGUUGGCAUUCAUCUUCUAUCGAAUCGAUGAUUUACCAGAAUACUUGAUCGUAUGGCAGCUCAUGAAGGCGAAUGGCAAGAGAGCUUCAAGCAAGGCCGGAAACAAAAAUAGCUCAGAAAGAAGGAUGAUGAUGAAUGCCGAUGGUUUCCAUGGUGGCCAUGGAGUUUUGACAAGGCGAGUCGUGUAUAUAAGAGAGCAAUCACUUUCACUCCCUUUUGUGCUCAAAGAAGCUCAAAUUAAGCCAUCUUCUUCUCUCUAUAGCUGCUACUACAUACCCGGCAAGCUCAUCCAGACUCUCUCUCUCAAACAAAGAAAAUGAAGAAGCAAACAGUCAGCUCAUCAAGCAAGGGUGGAAAACAAAAACAAAAAAAAAGCUCAGAAAGAGGGAUGAUGAUGAAUGAUGACGGAUUCCAUAGUGGCCAUGGACUUUUUACAAGGCGAGUGGCAAGAGAGCUUCAAAUGAAGGAGGAGGAGGUAAAGGAAGAUAAGGUGGAGGAGGAAAGAAAAAGGACGAGGAAAGGAAGAGAAGGAAGAGGCCCACGAGGGGGUGGAGGCCAAGGAGCCGAGUUUUACUGAGUCACCCUGAUCAAACUGUUGAUGGGGUGAAUGCUGGUGCUGCUCAAGAUGUGCCUGCUGGACCCCUGCCAUCGGCCGCUGCUGCCGAUAGUAAUGAAGUAGAUAUGGAAACGGUACUUGGAUUGGGUCAGCGGGGGUUGACUCCCUGGAGAAGCAAGGAGGAGCAGGAUUUGUGGUUUGGCGGGAAAUUUCAAGUGGGCUUAGAAAGUUCUGCCUAGGUGGUUUAAAUAAUCUUCUCUCUUCCUCCUAAUUGUUAUUUGUCUUUAGAUUAAAUGUUUAAAUUUUAAUAUGGUAUCAGAGUAGGCUAUACUUAAGUUUAACAAUUAUAUAUGUAAAUCGUCAUUUCGUAAAUACUAAUCCUUACCAUUG